rnacentral:tRNA from 2 species
GGCCCGUUCGUCUAGUGGCCUAGGACGCCGCCCUCUCACGGCGGAAACAGGGGUUCGACUCCCCUACGGGCUGCCA